rnacentral:rRNA from 1 species
AAUGAACGCUGGCGGCAUGCCUAACACAUGCAAGUCGAACGAGACCUUCGGGUCUAGUGGCGCACGGGCGCGUAACGCGUGGGAAUCUGCCCUUGGGUUCGGAAUAACUCGCCGAAGGGCGUGCUAAUACCGGAUGAUGACGUAAGUCCAAAGAUUUAUCGCCCAAGGAUGAGCCCGCGUAGGAUUAGCUAGUUGGUGGGGUAAAGGCCCACCAAGGCGUCGAUCCUUAGCUGGUCUGAGAGGAUGAUCAGCCACACUGGGACUGAGACACGGCCCAGACUCCUACGGGAGGCAGCAGUGGGGAAUAUUGGACAAUGGGCGAAAGCCUGAUCCAGCAAUGCCGCGUGAGUGAUGAAGGCCUUAGGGUUGUAAAGCUCUUUUACCCGGGAUGAUAAUGACAGUACCGGGAGAAUAAGCCCCGGCUAACUCCGUGCCAGCCGCCGCCGUAA